CCUACGGGGGGCAGCAGUGGGGAAUAUUGCACAAUGGGGGAAACCCUGAUGCAGCGACGCCGCGUGAGUGAAGAAGUAUCUCGGUAUGUAAAGCUCUAUCAGCAGGGAAGAAAAUGACGGUACGUGAUUAAGAAGCCCUGGCUAACUACGUGCCAGCAGCCGCGGUAAUACGUAGGGGGCAAGCGUAAUCCGGAUUUACUGGGUGUAAAGGGAGCGUAGACGGCAGCACAAGUCUGGAGUGAAAUGCCGGGGCUUAACCCCGGGACUGCUCUGGAAACUAUUGGACUUGAGUGCAGGAGAGGUAAGCGGAAUUCGUGGUGUAGCGGUGAAAUGCGUAGAUAUUAGGAGGAACACCAGUGGCGAAGGCAGCUUACUGGACUGUAACUGACGUUGAGGCUCGAAAGCGUGGGGAGCAAACAGGAUUAGAUACCCGUGUAGUC
rnacentral:rRNA from 1 species